rnacentral:rRNA from 1 species
GCACCCGCACAAGCGGUGGAGCAUGCUGUUUAAUUCGAAGAUACGCGAAGAACCUUACCUAGACUUGACAUCCCCGGCAAAGCUAUAGAAAUAUAGUGGAGGUUACCCGGGUGACAGGUGGUGCAUGGUUGUCGUCAGCUCGUGUCGUGAGAUGUUCGGUUAAGUCCGAUAACGAGCGCAACCCUUUUCUUUAGUUGCUAACAUUUAGUUGAGAACUCUAAAGAUACUGCCGGUGACAAACCGGAGGAAGGUGGGGAUGACGUCAAAUCAUCAUGCCCCUUACGUCUAGGGCAACAGGCGUGCUACAAUGGCCGGUACAAAGAGACGCAAUCCCGUGAGGAGGAGCAAAACUCAAAAACCGGUCCCAGUUCGGAUUGGAGUCUGCAACUCGACUCCAUGAAGUUGGAAUCGCUAGUAAUCCUGGAUCAGAAUGCCAGGGUGAAUACGUUCCCGGGUGUU